rnacentral:rRNA from 1 species
GACGAACGCUGGCGGCGUGCCUAAUACAUGCAAGUAGAACGCACAGUUUAUACCGUAGCUUGCUACACCAUAGACUGUGAGUUGCGAACGGGUGAGUAACGCGUAGGUAACCUGCCUGGUAGCGGGGGAUAACUAUUGGAAACGAUAGCUAAUACCGCAUAAUAUUAAUUAUUGCAUGAUAAUUAAUUGAAAGGUGCAAUUGCACCACUACCAGAUGGACCUGCGUUGUAUUAGCUAGUAGGUGAGGUAACGGCUCACCUAGGCGACGAUACAUAGCCGACCUGAGAGGGUGAUCGGCCACACUGGGACUGAGACACGGCCCAGACUCCUACGGGAGGCAGCAGCAGGGAAUCUUCGGCAAUGGACGAAAGUCUGACCGAGCAACGCCGCGUGAGUGAAGAAGGUUUUCGGAUCGUAAAGCUCUGUUGUAAGAGAAGAACGGGUGUGAGAGUGGAAAGUUCACACUGUGACGGUAUCUUACCAGAAAGGGACGGCUAACUACGUG